rnacentral:rRNA from 5 species
CUUUUAAUGAGAGUUUGAUCCUGGCUCAGGACGAACGCUGGCGGCGUGCCU